rnacentral:rRNA from 1 species
UGCGUAGGCGGGUUUCUAAGUCAGUGGUGAAAUCUGGUCGCUUAACGAUCAAACGGCCAUUGAUACUGCAGGACUUGAAUUACCAGGAAGUAACUAGAAUAUGUAGUGUAGCGGUGAAAUGCUUAGAUAUUACAUGGAAUACCAAUUGCGAAGGCAGGUUACUACUGGUUUAUUGACGCUGAUGGACGAAAGCGUGGGGAGCGAACA